GCCCAACCUUGCCUUCAAGUGGCUCAUGGACCAGUGAGAGAGACUGACACACAACAGGUAACAGUGUCCAGCCUCACUGACACUCCGAUGAGGUGCCGUGGCCUCACCCAGGACACCUAACCCUGACUGGGUAGGGUGUAGGGGCGACAGUGGGGGUCAGACCUGCUUUCCCAAGGAAGUGAUGCCCAUCUGCAUAUUUAAGGAUAGCCCACUUCGCACGCACAGAUGACGUCAAUAACCCUGAUAAACACAGCUGACACAGAGAAUGGACUAUGAGCCAGGCAAUGCUCUAAGCGCUUUUUGCAUACAUUGGGUCUCACUCUGUCUCCCACCCUGGAGUGCAAUGGUGUGAUUAUAGCUCCCUGCAACCUCCACCUCCCAGGCUCAAGCAAUCUUCCCACCUCAGACUACCAAGUAGCUGGGACUACAGAAGUUUCUUCCUGUUGAAGAGUGGAUGUGGCCUGUUUGGAAACCACGGACUGCCUGGAUGCCGUGGACUGCUUGGAUGCUGUGGACUGCCUGGAUGCUGUGGACUGCUUGGAUGCCGUGGACUGCUUAGAUGCCGUGGACUGCUUAGAUGCCGUGGUCUGCUUAGAUGCCGUGGACUGUUUAGAUGUUGUGAUUCCUUCCUCACUAGCAAGAAGAUUCCUCUGGGCUAUAUAAGCAGCAGCUUCUUUAAUUCUUUCUUCUUCUGUAUCUGUAAUUCCACUGACAUGCUUUUGACUAAAACACAAUAAUGGCAAAAUGUAGAUGUUGUGGAUGGCAGUGAUAAGAUUGAGUAAUUUUACUAAGUUCAAAGUACCACACCUCAGACACUAUAUCCUGCACCAAAAGAAAACCCGAUAUAGAAAAGAAGGUAUAUCAGAAGCUGACGCUUCAUGUACAGAAGUAUUCCUUGCCUUAACAAAUAACAACAAUAAUAACACCUAUAAUGGCCCUGGUGCUUUUCACAUACAUUAUCUUGUUUCAUCCCCAUACAAGCCUUAUGAGAUAAACUUUUUUUUUUUUUAUAUGGAGUCUCGCUCUUGUUGCCCAGGCUGGAGUGCAGUGGUGUGAUCUCAGCUCACUGCAACCUUGGCCUCCUGGGUUCAAGAAAUUCUCCUGCCUCAGCCUCCCAAGGAGCUGGGAUUACAGGCUCCUGCUACCAUGCCCGGCUAAUAUUUUGUAAUUUUAAUAGAGACAGGGUUUCACCAUGUUGGCCAGGCUGGUCUCGAACUCCUGACCUCAGGUGAUCCACCAGCCUUGGCCUCCCAAAGUGCUGGGAUUACAUGCGUGAGCCACCGUGCCCUGCCAAGAUAAAUUAUUAUUGCUGUUUUAAAUAUAUCGUAACAAGGUUCAGAUAAGUUGGAUAACUUGGCCAAGGUCGUCUCAUUGGUUGUCUUAGUGUGUUUAAACAUGAUUUUGUUUAAAAUAAAAGAUUAUGGUUCCUUUCCAGAAAAACCAUAUUGUCAAAUGAGAUCUAGUUUGUGUGCCUGUGACCCUGAUACAUGAGUAGGAGCUUGAUCUGGGUUCUGUCACUUUGCUGAUGUAAUGCAUUGCCUGGAGUUGUUACAUGUAUGAAUAAGCUCUGAAUUUACAUGAGGUUCCUUAUGCCUACUGGGUUUCUUUCUAAGAUAAUACAUAUUGUAUGUGCAUAUACUAUGUGUGUACCUAUACUAUAUACUAAGAAAUUAUCAAACUCGUGAUGGAAGUGGUGACGUUUAUAAGUGUGACUCGUUAUUAUUCAUAUUUGAUGACGAUAGUAAGGGAGUGGUAACAUCCCAAGUGCAAUGUCUACUGUGGCAGUUUAUGAUAGAAUCUGUGCUGUGAUUUAUUCAUAUUGUUUAAAAAUAUUUGAAUUAUUUUAACGUAUUUCAAUGCCUUUUGUUGUAAACCCCCUCAAAUGUUUUAGUGAGAGAGUGUAUUGAUUACGUCGAAGAUUCUCUUGACAUUGAGUCUCCUUAGACCUCUUAAGUCAGAAUCGUGCAUUCUAAGAAUGAUUACUUCAGAAUGUAAACAAAUGCUGCCAUUGUGUUAGCAAGUUCCUGACAUCUAAAUCUAUGCCCCUUGCUGAGGAAUAAGAUUCCACAUUUGCCAAGAUUGGGGUUUCUCAUGGACUAUUGCUAAAACAUCUGGCAGACGAGGUGAGUCCACGUUGUUUCUGACUAAAUGCAACAGAAGGCUGUGUUUGGCUCUCUUUGGUUUGGGGCUCAACUUGGAUGAAUAAUCAUCUAACAGCAGACUGGAAUCUGAAAAGAAAACCAAGAUCCAAAUAUAUACAUAACAGAGGGAAGGCCACAUGGAGACAAAGGGGGAAGACAGCCAUCCAUGAGCCGAAAAGAGACCUGAGAAGAAACCACCCAGCUGACACCUUGAUCUUGGACUUCCAGCCUCCAGAGUUGUAAGGGUACAGCUUCAUUACCCCAUUGAGGAAAGCAAGGCUUCCAGAAGGGGAGGCAUUUGCCAAAGAUCACACAGCUGGUAGAUGACAGAAACGCAACUUCAUUCAGAGACAUUUGAUUCCAAAGCCCGUGUACUUGUAGUCAUGUAUUGCUGUCUCCUCCAGUGGCACUUUGAUGGCCAGGGAGAUACUUCUAUGAACGAAGAAGACAGAAAACCCUACCAGAAUUGACUGAAAAGUUGAGCGAGGGGCAGGAAAGAAAAAGAGGUGGC